UGCACCUGCUUACAAAACGCAGCGCUUUAAUGUUGAUGCUGUCGGAGCGUAAAGAACGCUUUUUUUGGGCUGUUCUGUUUCAGGAAAGAUGUCAAAAAUAGACAUUUUAUCGACGCUGCAGUCGAGACGGUGCCAUAAACCGGGUGGAGUUUCCAUCUUGUGGUGAAAGGCUCUCUACAAGCGCCAUGUUUUCCGUAACAAUACCUGAAGUUCACGCUCCAGUUGCCUUUGCGCUCUUACUCAUUGCAGCCAACAUGUGUGCUCUGUGCCACUGAGUCACUUGACAGCCCGAUGCCACACAGCAGAACAGAGGACAAGCAGGAGGAGGAGGAGAAGCAAAGUGCUCACACACACAUCAUACACGUGCGGUAAUGGUUGAGUCAGAUGAGGCAGAUUAAUCUGUGACGUCAGUGAAGAGGUGGCAAUGGCAAACUGAGAUGGACAGAAACGUAUCCAAUGACGCCGUCGUUGGUCGGUGUUCGAACAUCACGGAGUGGAGUGUGGUCCUCCAGGAGGCGACCGUGUUAAAGCUACAGCUCAGCACCUCCUAUAUUGUCACACAUUCCCACCCUAUCAAAGUGGGAUUUCUGAGCUGAUUCUGCAGAAUGUGGGCAUCUGUGCAUUUCCUCCAUAG